rnacentral:rRNA from 1 species
ACUUCGGUUGAUUGUUUGCGCUGGUUAGUGGCAGACGGGUGAGUAACGCAAGGGUAAUUUGCCCCUAAGCCUGGGAUAACAUCUCGAAAGGAAUGCUAAUACCGGAUAUUCUUUUCUUUCGCAUGGUUGAAAAGGAAAGCUCAGGCGCUUAGGGAGAGCCCUUGUCUGAUUAGUUUGUUGGUGGGGUAAUGGCCUACCAAGGCUACGAUCAGUAGCUGGUCUGAGAGGAUGAUCAGCCACACUGGAACUGAGACACGGUCCAGACUCC